CUACGGAGGGUGCGAGCGUUGUUCGGAAUCACUGGGCGUAAAGGGCGCGCAGGCGGUUUGUCAAGUCAGAUGUGAAAGGCCACGGCUCAACCGUGGAGGUGCAUCUGAAACUGGCAGACUUGAGUACCGGAGGGGAAAGUGGAAUUCCCGGUGUAGAGGUGAAAUUCGUAGAUAUCGGGAGGAACACCGGAGGCGAAGGCGACUUUCUGGACGGAUACUGACGCUGAGGCGCGAAAGCGUGGGGAGCAAACAGGAUUAGAAACCCUAGUAGUCC
rnacentral:rRNA from 1 species